AACCUUUAAAUUCUAGAUUGUAGCAAUAAUGGAAGAGAUAGAAGACAUUUAUGUACAAAUACUAUUCCUUUUCCCAGCACCAAUAUACUUCUUUCUAUCACAGCUUCAGUUUAAAAGCAUUCAAGGAGUUUCUGAAGCCUACAGCUUGUGAAGAAGAGUGCCUCAUCUGCUGGAAGAACACACUUUACAUAAAAGAGGAUGAGAUUUGGAGAAUGAGAACAUUACUGGAGCCUGACGUGGGGGAAACCAACAAGCCAGGAAGGACGAAAUCAGUUGAGGGAGAUUUGAACCGCUACUCAAGUGUGCAGAGUACCAGGGAGAGCCCCAACAGGUCCUUGAGGAGGCAUCUAAGAACAACCCAAGCAAAUGCAAAUCCUGGAAGAGCAGCACAGACGUGGAGUGACUUAUCUCACCGACAGAGGCCAUUCCCGUGUCCUGGGUUCUGUUCCACGCCCUGCCCAUCUUUGCUGUGCUGUUACUGGCGUCGCUUCCACGUGGGCAGGCAGGAUCUCUCAAGGCCUGUUGUGGGCUUCUGUUGUUCACUUUACGUUCCUUGUGGACUGAAUACGGCGCAGAUGAAUUUGUUCCAGGAUCUCAAUUUUUCCCGGCAGUAUGUCAUGUUUGUGAUGACCCCCAGCCCUCACUUCAGUCAGCAAGGCCGAGUAGCUAGACAUGUUAGGUGUAGUAAUUGUGGAUUUACUAAAAUCCCACACACAUCAAAGGCUCCCUGAGAAGCUCUAAUAUGUGGUAAGGCCACGUUAUACACUGGUAUGAUUUCUGACAUUCUGUUUCUGUAAUAAUUUAAAAAACGAGAAAGCAAAGAAUUGCAGAAUGUUAUGUUUGACAAAAGACAAUGUAAUUUUCUUUUCUUUUAUUAGCAGCCCAAACAAGAUAUUGGGUAACAAUAUUGCCCACUAUCCUUUCUGCCAUUUGCAAGGGCAAAUGGAGCUUUUAAUGCAUUUUUAAAUCAUGAAAGUAAGAAUAUCAUAUAUAAAUAUAACUACAUAAUAUAAAAUUAUAUGCAUUUAAUACAAGUUAAAUUACAUAUAAAUAUAAAUAUUCUGCUUUAUAUGAAAGAAAGCUUUAGGGAUCCCUGGGUGGCGCAGCGGUUUGGCGCCUGCCUUUGGCCCAGGGCGCGAUCCUGGAGACCGGGAUCGAAUCCCGCGUCGGGCUCCCGGUGCAUGGAGCCUGCUUCUCCCUCUGCCUGUGUCUCUGCCUCUCUCUCUCUCUCUCUCUGUGACUAUCGUAAACAAAUAAAAAUUUAAAAAAAAAUUAAAAAAAAAAAAAA
rnacentral:lncRNA from 1 species